rnacentral:rRNA from 1 species
GAUGAACGCUGGCGGCGUGCCUAAUACAUGCAAGUCGAGCGAACAGACGAGGAGCUUGCUCCUCUGACGUUAGCGGCGGACGGGUGAGUAACACGUGGAUAACCUACCUAUAAGACUGGGAUAACUUCGGGAAACCGGAGCUAAUACCGGAUAAUAUAUUGAACCGCAUGGUUCAAUAGUGAAAGACGGUUUUGCUGUCACUUAUAGAUGGAUCCGCGCCGCAUUAGCUAGUUGGUAAGGUAACGGCUUACCAAGGCAACGAUGCGUAGCCGACCUGAGAGGGUGACCGGCCACACUGGAACUGAGACACGGUCCAGACUCCUACGGGAGGCAGCAGUAGGGAAUCUUCCGCAAUGGGCGAAAGCCUGACGGAGCAACGCCGCGUGAGUGAUGAAGGUCUUCGGAUCGUAAAACUCUGUUAUUAGGGUAGAACAAAUGUGUAAGUAACUAUGCACGUCUUGACGGUACCUAAUCAGAAAGCCACGGCUAACUACGUG